rnacentral:rRNA from 1 species
GAUGAACGCUAGCUACAGGCUUAACACAUGCAAGUCGAGGGGUAACGAGAGGAAAGCUUGCUUUCCUUGUCGACGACCGGCGCACGGGUGAGUAACGCGUAUCCAACCUGCCCCCAACUAGGGAAUAACCUUGCGAAAGUAAGACUAAUACCCUAUAAUUUCCUCAGAUGCCAUCUGACGAGGAAUAAAGAUUUAUCGGUUGUGGAUGGGGAUGCGUCUGAUUAGCUUGUUGGCGGGGUAACGGCCCACCAAGGCAACGAUCAGUAGGGGCUCUGAGAGGAAGGUCCCCCACAUUGGAACUGAGACACGGUCCAAACUCCUACGGGAGGCAGCAGUGAGGAAUAUUGGUCAAUGGGCGGAAGCCUGAACCAGCCAAGUAGCGUGCAGGAUGACGGCCCUAUGGGUUGUAAACUGCUUUUAUACAGGAAUAAAGUUAGCCACGUGAGGUUAUUUGUAGGUACUGUAUGAAUAAGGACCGGCUAAUUCCGUGCCAGCCGCCGCGGUAA